rnacentral:lncRNA from 1 species
GGACCAAAAAGCAAAAGCAGUGUGUUGUAUGUUAAUGGUCACUGAAGAUACAGAGAUAGUGGUUUAGCUUAGUUACAAAGCUAACUAGAUUAUAUAGGCGUUGAAGAGUUUGAAGUAGGAUAAUGUCUCCAGGGGAGAGUCUCAAAUACAAGGGAGUCCUCUGUUUUUAAAUUCCUUUUUCAUGUUACUGGAAUAGAAUACUGUACUUUCGAAGUGUAUAUACCUACCUUCACACCAAAAACCGAAAAUAAAAAUGUAAGCGGAACUAAACAAAAGUUUACAGGACUUAUGCCGCUGGUCAUUUGUGUGUAGACUAAUAGUUAUGUGUUUAGGCAAGAUUCUCCAAGCCAUUCGAUUCCCUGAUUUUCAUUAAUUUGAGAGUAAACACGUCAUGCCGUAAAUUUCGCAUUCACAUAAAUUGCGGAGCGUGGGAGAGGAGGCUUAAAAUGAAACCAAAAACCUCAUUCGCUAGCCUGAAGCCUGAAAUUCAGUUUCAUUGUUCGUAUUAUUGGUGCCUGCCUGAGGAAGAAGUUACAAGGUUCUGUAAGGUUUGGCCCAACAGCAACUACACCUGGAGUCCUGGUAUUACUGCACCCGACCUUUAACCCAGAGGAAAUAGUCCCAGACGCCAGCAGAUUUGUACACCGUGAUGACAUCCUGACUGUCAACUGCUUGUUCCACGAGAGCGAGCUACUGGACAGUGACUGCAAUGACAAAGCGUUUGAAAGUGUUUCCCGUUACUUAAUGAGCUUCCAGAGGGGAACUGCCUCUCAAAGCCAAAACCAUCAUGUUGUCUAUGAUAUUCCUCUUCUACCUCGGAAUCAAAACCAUGGUUACCUUUAUUUAAUAUCACAAAAGCUCCCCCACAUGCUGCUGAUAGCUGGCAUAGUAUUCAUUAUAAUCUCGAUUAUCCUAUGGGUAAAGUCAUUGCUCUAAAACAAGCGUCAUUAAGGACGUCUCAUUUUGUUAAAUGCUCUCAGAGGAGCUGAGGAAUGAGGUGAGAUGUGAAGAAAUAGUGGAGCGUUUUCAAUUGGAAUGCCUGACAUAUGGCCAGAGGUGGAAAUUCCCCUCGUCUUCAUAUGUCAACCUACAAUUUAAAAUAACACGUAGUGGUUUAUGAACAAAAAUAAAUGAUCAAUCAAACCAAGAAAACA